rnacentral:piRNA from 1 species
UAAGGUGAAAGGAAAACUCGGCCAUUC